UACGUAGGGUGCGAGCGUUGUUCGGAAUUAUUGGGCGUAAAGGGUGCGUAGGCGGUUUGGUAAGUCUGAUGUGAAAUCUAUGGGCUCAACUCAUAGUCUGCAUCGGAAACUGCCGGGCUUGAGUAUGGGAGAGGUGAGUGGAAUUCCUGGUGUAGCGGUGAAAUGCGUAGAGAUCCCCAAGAACACCAGUGGCGAAGGCGACUUACUGGACUGUAACUGACGCUGAGGCAUGAAAGCGUGGGGAGCAAACAGG
rnacentral:rRNA from 1 species